ensembl:lncRNA
CAUACUACUGUAGGGAUGUAGGUAAAAGUUUGGUGAAGUUAGAUGAGUGAUAACGAGCAGGACCGGCAAGCAGCUAACCAUGGCAUGGCGGCUAACACUCCCAGCGCUACGUUUAACAUCCAGCCGCCGGCAGGGGCGGACUUACCAUUAGGCGAAACUAGGCGGUUGCCUAGGGCCCCAAGGUCCUGAGGGGCCCCGUAAAAAUCCUCAUACACUUAUGGUUGAUAAAGUUAUUACUUAUUCGCGCAUAUUAAUUAUAUUUAUGAUUAAAAUUCUCUCGCUAAAAUGCCAACGGAAUGCGUAUCGUAUUAUGUGUGUGUCGGGGCCCCCCUUCAGUGUCCACUACAUUGGAUCAGUCCAUCUUUGCUGCGCAUGUGCAGAACGGAUCCAAGAAACGGUCAAAACGAACGGCGCGAAAUGGCGAAAGACAGUAAGAGGACAGUAUCACACGGAUCAAGCGAAGCGACCCCGAAAAGAGGAGGAAGAAGGAAGAAAAACAAACGUCAAAGUUGCAGAAAGUGACAAGUUUCUUCACCGCUCCUGCGGCAGCGGCCAGCAGCAGCAACCCACAACCUGCUCAACCGACACGGACACCUGAGGAGGAUGAACCAAAAUCUUCUCAUUUCAGAGGGCCCCAUGCCUGCCUUUGCCUUGGGCCCCAAAUUUCUUAAAUCCGCCACUGGACGCUGGAGCCCUUUUCCUAGCCGAACGACUGGAGGAAAUGGAUUCGGAGAUUUGAGAGAUUCCAUCAGGCAAGUAACCAGAGGUUACAAGCUCCGAAGUCAACCAGGAGCUGUGGUCUCCCCCUGUUCAUUCCUGAAGGGUGUGGCUGGAACAGCGGACGGCAUUCAGCCAUCAGGGGACUCUCAUAUCAUCCCGGGUCUUCCUGCCAUUCAGCGCCAGAUCGUUCCAACGUCAGAGUGGUAAACUACUUUUUCAGGCCAUCUGGCUGCUCGCUGUGGAUUAGACGCUGUCUUUGUUUCUGUUCUUUUUCUGUUUUUGCCCUAGUGCUUGAGGAUUCCUACCUGCCGGCUGGCAGGCUCUCAGAGUCCGGUCUCCCCCCCCCGACUCAACCGGUACCUGUGUGCCAAAUUGUGUGUGUACGAUCUGAAUAAACACCUUGUUUUCACGUCGGAAGAACCUUCCUUUGAGUCCUGUGUGCUGCGCUUGGGCCCACGCCCAUCUACCUCACCGUAACUGUCAGGGGUGCCUGGGGAAGGCCGGACUCAAGAUCCAGACUUAACCAAAAAGACUUUAAUAGUCAAAAAAGGCCACAAAGCAAAAGGCCAAUGGGCAAAAACACACACAGGAACUGGGGGCAAAAAGGCACACAGGAACCGAGAACAUCCAGGACGAUAGACAAUGACGCGACAAGUGACACAAGAGACACACGGCUUAAAUAUACCUGGGAGGUGAAGGUGAUUGGACACAGGUGGAAACAAUCAGACAAUUACAGGGGAUGACAGGACCAGGCAGGAAGUGAAGUUACCCAGGGAGACAAUAAGCAGAAAACUACAAAAUAAGACAGGAAAUAAAACCACACCGUGACAGUAACAGAUUAUCCCUGUUUAACUGAUGUUGUCUGAUUGUGUACUAUCAACCUGAAUUGAAUUAAUUAUAUGACUAUUGAUUGUUUCCUUUUAAAUGCCAUCGGAAAUAUACUAGAAUUUGGCUCCCAAAUUACAUUUUGACAGGAUUUAAUUUUGAAAUGCUACAUCCGAAUGUCCUGAUUAUCCAAAACUAAUAUAAAUUGAACAAAAGUUGGCUCAUGAAUGAGAUUUUAAAGGAAGUUGGCUCAUGUAUAACAUUGUUUGAAAUGCUACAUAAGAAUAGGUAUUUCUUGAUAUUUUCUGGUCUGUCUGAAUGAAUUAUUUCUAUAUGUAUUUGAAUAAUUACACAAUUGACAUAACAUUAUCAUUUAUAGACUAUAUAUCUAGUUCUUAGAUAGAUAGAUAGAUAGAUAGGUACUUUAUUGAUCCCUCAAGAGGGAAAUGUUGGUAUCACAGCAGCAUGUACAGGGAAGAAAAUAGAAUAAAAAGAUACACAUUAUAUACAAUAUAAUAAGAUAGAAAUAUUAAAUUAUUAUAUUAAAUUAAAUAAACUAAAACUGAAACAAAAGAAUAACCUUCCAAAAGAGACAAUAAUAAUAAUUUGUAAAAGGAGAAGAGGAAGAUGAAGAGCAGCAACAUCACAGCAGUACAGGGUUAUUAUUGUCAUUAUUUAGCCUGGGAUGAUUUAUUGUAAAGUGUUAUUGCACUGGGCAGGAAUGAUCUCCUGUAUCAGUCCUUGUGACAGCGGAGCUGAAGGAGUCUGUUGGAGAACGCGCUCCGCUGUCCCUGUAGCAGGUGGUGAAGGGGGUGGUCAGGAUUAUCCAAUAUGGAUAACAGUUUCUUCAGUGACCUCCCCUCCAACACCUUUUCCAAGCUGUCCUGUUUGCAGCCAAUGAUGGAGCCGGCCUUCUUAACAAGUUUGUUAAGUCUGUUGGUGUCACUGGCUCAAAUGCUGCUCCCCCAGCAGACCACGGCCAAGUACAAAGCACUGGCCACAACAUCUCCAACAUCUUGCUGCACACAUGGAAGGAUCGAAGCUUCCUCAGGAAAAAGAGUCGACUCAUUCCCUUCCUGUAGACGGCGUUGAUGUUGGUCUUCCAGUUCAGUCUGUUGUCGAUGGAGACACCCAGGUACUUGUAGUCCUCGACCAUGGCCACCUCCUCUCCCAGAACCCUCAGCGGUAGCGGAGCCGUUGUCUUCCUCCAGAAGUCGACCACCAUCUCUCUGGUCUUGGCCACGUUCAGGAGCAGGUGUUACAACUAACAUGCAGACUGGCUUGAUCGCAGUGAAAAGAAGCGCCCUUUGGGUGGAUCAUCUUGUUGUUGGAUACUUUCAAAUGAUCGGUUGACGGUCGGAAAUAUUCUCUACUAGAAAGUUGCACUUUGCUCCUCUUAAAUAACUAGAACAUGAUAUGUGAUAUUCAGGGGCAAACGCUAAUAGUAACAAAAUGUUUAGUGGCGACAAAAUAUAUUUGGAAGACCAAUGAGAAGAUUUUUUUUUAAAAGAGUGGGAUCUGAAAUUGUUUUAACGAAGCGACAAAUGGCUAUUCCCACAGUCUGCCGU